rnacentral:rRNA from 1 species
UGGGGAACCUGCCCCAUAGUCUGGGAUACCACUUGGAAACAGGUGCUAAUACCGGAUAAGAAAGCAGAUCGCAUGAUCAGCUUUUAAAAGGCGGCGUAAGCUGUCGCUAUGGGAUGGCCCCGCGGUGCAUUAGUUAGUUGGUAAGGUAAAGGCUUACCAAGGCGAUGAUGCAUAGCCGAGUUGAGAGACUGAUCGGCCACAUUGGGACUGAGACACGGCCCAAACUCCUACGGGAGGCAGCAGAC